UAAUGAUGAAAAUGAGCACCAGUUAUCUUUAAGAACGGUCAGUUUAGGGGCUGGUGCAAAGGAUGAAUUGCACAUUGUUGAAGCAGAGGCAAUGAAUUACGAAGGCAGUCCAAUUAAAGUAACACUGGCAACUUUGAAAAUGUCUGUACAGCCAACGGUAAGGGCACUUAUAUACUUUGGAUGUUGUGUCAAGGUUUAAUUCUGUUUUAAGGUAGGUUUGGUGUCAUUUAAUUGUGCCAAGGAGAUAGAAAGUGGUUCUUUAUCUUCUGUCACUGGAGUUCAAUGGUCAACUCUUGAACACGGGGGCUUCUGCUGCUAGUUUAUCAGAGGUGGAAAAACAGGUUCACUGGUUUGUUGAUUUGGCUUAUGUGUUUGCCUGUAAUGUUUGUUCAUUUUCUUCACAUGUUUAGUGAUGAAAAAUUUCUCCCUUCUAGGUUUCCCUUGGGGGCUUUGAAAUAACACCACCAGUGGUCUUAAGGUUGAAGUGUGGUUCAGGGCCAGUGCAU
rnacentral:sRNA from 1 species